rnacentral:rRNA from 1 species
CCCUGAACACGCCUGAUCUCGUCUGAUCUUGGAAGCUAAGCAGGGUA